AGUGAACGCUGGCGGUAGGCCUAACACAUGCAAGUCGAACGGCAGCACAGUAAGAGCUUGCUCUUACGGGUGGCGAGUGGCGGACGGGUGAGGAAUACAUCGGAAUCUACUUUUUCGUGGGGGAUAACGUAGGGAAACUUACGCUAAUACCGCAUACGACCUACGGGUGAAAGCAGGGGAUCUUCGGACCUUGCGCGAUUGAAUGAGCCGAUGUCGGAUUAGCUAGUUGGCGGGGUAAAGGCCCACCAAGGCGACGAUCCGUAGCUGGUCUGAGAGGAUGAUCAGCCACACUGGAACUGAGACACGGUCCAGACUCCUACGGGAGGCAGCGGUGGGGAAUAUUGGACAAUGGGCGCAAGCCUGAUCCAGCCAUACCGCGUGGGUGGAGAAGGCCUUCGGGUUGUAAAGCCCUUUUGUUGGGAAAGAAAAGCAGCAGGUUAAUACCCCGCUGUUCUGACGGUACCCAAAGAAUAAGCACCGGCUAACUUCGUG
rnacentral:rRNA from 1 species